rnacentral:rRNA from 1 species
UACGUAGGCAGCGAGCGUUGUUCGGAAUUACUGGGCGUAAAGAGUGUGUAGGCGGUGCUCUAAGUUCGGUGUGAAAUCUCCCGCUUAACUGGGAGGGUGCGCCGGAAACUGGAGUGCUCGAGCGUGGGAGAGGAAAGCGGAAUUCCUGGUGUAGCGGUGAAAUGCGUAGAUAUCGGAAGGAACACCUGUGGCGAAAGCGGCUCACUGGACCAUUACUGACGCUGAGGCACGAAAGCUAGGGGAGCAAACAGG